GCCCUUCCUGUUUAACAAAAACAUGUCUUUUUGUUUAAAAUAUAAAGUCUGGCCUGCCCACUGAUAUUUGAAGGGCCGCAGUAUAUUGACUGUGCAAAGGUAGCAUAAUCAUUUGCCUUUUAAUUAAAGGCUAGUAUGAAUGGUUGAACGAAAUACAAACUGUCUCACUCUUAAAAUUUUAAUAAUUUAGCUUUCUAGUUAAAAGGCUUGAAUAAUUUUGAAGGACGAGAAGACCCUAUAGAACUUUAUAUAUUUUAAUUUGGAUUUAUAUAGUAAAAUAUUUUUAUUUAAAUUAUUGUAUAUUUUGUUGGGGUGACAGGAAAAUUUAAUUAACUUUUUUAAUUAUAAACAUAAAUUUAUGAAUAUUUGAUCCAUUAUUAUUGAUUAUUAGAAUAAGUUACCUUAGGGAUAACAGCGUAAUUUUGUUGGAGAGUUCUUAUCUAUAACAAUGUUUGCGACCUCGAUGUUGAAUUAAAGAAAUUUUAGAGUGCAGAAGUUCUAAGUAAUAGGUCUGUUCGACCUUUAAAUCUUUACAUGAUCUGAGUUCAAACCGAAGGGC
rnacentral:rRNA from 1 species